AACGAACGCUGGCGGCGGGCUUAACACAUGCAAGUCGAACGCACCUUUCGGGGUGAGUGGCCGACGGGUGAGUAACGCGUGGGAAUCUACCCUUCUCUACGGGAUAGCUCCGGGAAACUGGAAUUAAUACCGUAUACGUCCUGAGGGAGAAAGAUUUAUCGGGGAAGGAUGAGCCCGCGUUGGAUUAGCUAGUUGGUGGGGUAAAGGCCUACCAAGGCGACGAUCCAUAGCUGGUCUAAGAGGAUGAUCAGCCACAUUGGGACUGAGACACGGCCCAAACUCCUACGGGAGGCAGCAGUGGGGAAUAUUGGACAAUGGGCGCAAGCCUGAUCCAGCCAUGCCGCGUGAGUGAUGAAGGCCCUAGGGUUGUAAAGCUCUUUCAGUGGGGACGAUAAUGACGGUACCCACAGAAGAAGCCCCGGCUAACUUCGUG
rnacentral:rRNA from 1 species